rnacentral:rRNA from 1 species
UGCAGUCGAGGGGUAACAGAGGUAGCCUGCUACUUGCUGACGACCGGCGCACGGGUGCGUAACGCGUAUAGAAUCUACCUUGUACUAGGGGAUAGCCUUUGGAAACGAAGAUUAAUACCCUAUAGUAAGUAUUUAUGGCAUCAUUUAUACUUUAAAGGUUACGGUACAAGAUGACUAUGCGUCCUAUUAGUUUGUUGGUGAGGUAACGGCUCACCAAGACUUCGAUAGGUAGGGGCCCUGAGAGGGGGAUCCCCCACACUGGUACUGAGACACGGACCAGACUCCUACGGGAGGCAGCAGUGAGGAAUAUUGGACAAUGGAGGCAACUCUGAUCCAGCCAUGCCGCGUGCAGGAUGACGGCCCUAUGGGUUGUAAACUGCUUUUAUGUAGGAAGAAACACUCUCACGUGUGAGAGCUUGACGGUACUACAAGAAUAAGGACCGGCUAACUCCGUGCCAGCAGCCGCGGUAAUACGGAGGGUCCAAGCGUUAUCCGGAAUCAUUGGGUUUAAAGGGUCCGUAGGCGGGCUAUUAAGUCAGAGGUGAAAGUUUGCAGCUCAACUGUAAAAUUGCCUUUGAA